UUGAAGAUGUGACCUGCUGACCUUAUUAAAAAUACAGUGCAUGGACUUUCCUACGAGCAGGUGAGAGAGAGUCAUCUGAAGACAGCUUAAGAUAGUCAUCUAAGUUAAGUUUACACUCACUGCCGGUCUCCUGUGGGGCUCUGACCACAAGCUGUGGUGAAUUUUGCUGUUGGGACUGAAGAAGUCGUGUCUGCCCUGGCCUGCAGGGCUCGUCGCCCCGGGAGGAGCAGUGAGGAGAGCAGGACCCCGUGCUCAUGCCGUGGCCGCUCCGCUCCAGGCAGCAGCCUGACCUGCCGAGGAAGUUUAGGAGUGAUGCUGCAUUGGGAUUCUAGUCAACAUCCACCAUAAUCAAUGGCUCUAAUCAAUAUUGCUCUGUUGGCAUCACACAUGGAAGAGAGCACAGUGCCUGGUCAGCACAAUGCAAGGACGGGACGAAAAUGAGAAAGAGAGAGACAGAGAGGCAGAAAGGAGACCGGAGACAAAUUAAAAAGUCAAGCUGAAAUAAGUGGAAAAGGCAAUCUUCAGGAGAAACUGAAAAGGUAACCCUACUUCAACUGUGCUUUCCUAUGUGUUGGGGACAGAAGGUUUCAAAUCCAUGUGUGGGACACUGAAAUCCUCCAGCAGUACCUGUCACAUGUUCACUGCUAAACGACUCUCAAAACCUCAAGAGCUCCUGUGAAAUCACCAUUGAGACAAUGGCAGUCCUGCUAAGUUUGUGACGAUUUGGGGGAUGAAACAAACAUCUGGCAAAUGAAAGAGCUAUGAUGAGGACGAAGCAAACUCAGGCAGUGCGCGCAAUGAAUGCUAUGCUUACACUCCAUCACAGGAAGCACAAAAGCUGGGAAACGUUAGUGUUUGGGCAAAAACGCAUUUUAAAAGUGCCCCAGUCUGAAAAGUCACUGGAAAAAAAAUGGUAUUCUGGGCUUUGAAUCACAUGGACCUAGUUGGUAAGUAAAAAGAUAUUUCUUCUAACUGCAAGCUUUGCAAAACCUGAGCUAGGUCUGAAAUUCAAGAUGAAUGCUUUAGUGAAUAAGGUGUUUGAAAAUGAUUAAGACUAGAACCUGCUAAUGGACUCUCUUAAUUAGCUUGAGGUACCAGGAUGAAAGAGUCAGCUCUUUUGACUCUUCUGUUUUUCACUGUAUUUCCCUCCCCCCCUCCAAAUGGGACAUAGGUGUGCCUAACCAAUACUUCAUUAUACAGAAAUAGAAAAAGUGAUUCUCGAUUCAUUUUAAUAUAUGACAUAUGGGCUGGAGUAAGCAGCAUUAACAUGCCCGUGUAGCCUGCAGCGAGUAGUUUAAUAGAUUCCAUGACUACUUGAUGAGUCUGAACACCAAAGAGGGGCAAGGGGGGCUCUGGCGAGAAGGAGCAGGAGGAAAACGCAGUAGGCACAUAGAAUGAACCAGAGAUUUUCUCCUGUUUCUUAAAAUAUUGGUAUGUCUGCUCUGCUGAAUGUACUGUUUCUUUUAAAAGCUUCUGGAAAUACUCUUACCAAAAUUCAAAACAUAGCCACAAAUCAUUUAUAGGAGACAAAAAACAAUAAGUAGUGUCAGCACAGAGGGAUAUAUUUUACUUGGCAGUGCCAGGAGGAAUUAUGGUGGGCUGUGAUGAGUGGAAUAUAAAGUAACAUAAGUUGCCUGUUGACAACAGGGUUUGAAAUUAUAAAAUGUAAAACCAAUAUAUUUCCUCCACAGUAUCAAACAGCUGGGAUUUUUUAUAGCUUCUAGCAGAAUACCAUGUCAUUUUUCAAAGUCCCGUAAUUCUGUAAGCAUGUUUAAGUGCAUGCUGUUAUUUAUUUUGUUUGUGUAUUUGGUUUCAAGUAUUACAUGGACUGUGAUGCACGGAGAUGCAAAUAUAACACAAGUGAUCAGCAUUUUGUUGAAAGCUGUUAUCAUAGCUGAUUUUCUGAUCUUAACUUUAUUUUCGGUCAUUAAAUGGAUUGUAUUUAAUAUACUAAAAUAGCUAGCAAUAGUACCACCCUCUUGUGUACCAUCACUGAACCAAAAAUCCUGCAUGAACCUUAUUUUUUCAUGCUAUUUAAAAAUCUAAUUAUAAAAAUUAGUCUUUAUGAGGAACCGACAGCAGCAGAGUUCAAGUAAGAGCUCUUCAAGUGACAGAUGGUAAUAAGCAAGUCAGACAGUUAGAUGAUGGUUUAUGUGCUAGACAUUAUAGGUGUUGUAACUAUUGACCCAUGUUAAUGUGGUUACUCUGGCAAAUAAAAUGCAGGAAACAAAGCUACACUGAGUGACUCUUAUGCCAGCUGCUGAUUAGUAGAGUAUCUGUCAGUCAGCAGCAUGAUCUGGUUGGUUGGCAGAUCUUAAACCUUUACAACCUAUAACGCUGUAUAGACUUGUCUUUUCCCCCUCAGUCUCUCUCCUCCAUGCUUCUUCAUUCCUACUGCCAUUCUUUCAGUACGCCGGCUCAUACCUGGACGGUUUUGGUAGGGAACCUGUUUCUGAUGAGUAGAGCUAUUCGAGGCAAGGAAAGCAGAUGCAGUAGGGAAGGUAUUUACCUCUUCUUGCAAGAGGUAAACGAGUCUUUUGUCUACAAGGCGCUCUGAAGGCUUUUCAAACAGGAUGGUGACAAAAGAAAAUGAGGAGGAGUGAUGGGAAAGACAGCAGGGAUGGUUGCAGGGUAUGCCAUCCAUACAAGCUGACCCUAUCAUGCAUAAUUAUAACACUGGGGGACAAAUAAUCUAUGAUCUGGAGACAGGUGAUUCAAGUUACAGAAAAAUACGUGUGAAUACAUCUGAAAAAAAUCAGGCUUGGUUUGUGAAGUGUUUAGUUUUGCUGUAUAAGAGCAAAUAUUUCAAUCUUUUUUGUAAUUGCACUGGGAUGUGCAGUAAAGAUACAGCUGCUUUUGCAGUCCAACGCUC